rnacentral:misc_RNA from 1 species
UGGAACAUAUUUGCUUUUGGGUUUGACCCAUUUCACUUUGGUACCUGUAAAAUUCUAGUAGUAAAAAUACAAGGCCUAGGACUGAAAAUAAUAAAAUACAACAUAUGACAAUAUAAUUUGGGUCUUCUAAUCAAACUUUUGACUUUGGGUCUUCUAAUCCAACUUUUGAUUUCUUCAAUUCUUUAAACUUCGGGACUUGUUCAUCGAUUUUAAUGAUUAGAGGAGGAACUCGAACAAUUUUCACAUGCAACAAGAAAAUAAGGAUUAGUAUUUAAGGAAUAAUAUCUUGAAACAAAACUUUAAACGAUACAAAAGGAUGUG